UGUUACAAUGGCGUGGACAAAGGGAAGCCACCUGGCGACAGGGAGCGAAUCCCCAAACCACGUCUCAGUUCGGAUCGGAGUCUGCAACCCGACUCCGUGAAGCUGGAUUCGCUAGUAAUCGCGCAUCAGCCAUGGCGCGGUGAAUACGUUCCCGGGCCUUGUACACACCGCCCGUCAAGCCAUGGGAGCCGGGGGUACCUGAAGUCCGUAACCGAAAGGAUCGGCCUAGGGUAAAACUGGUGACUGGGGCUAAGUCGUAACAAGGUAUC
rnacentral:rRNA from 1 species